GCGGGUUUGCCCUUAGAUCAAUCAGCUUCCCAAGCUGACAGUGCGGGUUCGAUUCCCGUCACCCGCUCCA
rnacentral:tRNA from 1 species